AUCGCUUCUCGGCCUUUUGGCUAAGAUCAAGUGUAGAAAAUCUUCAGCAUAAUUUUACGAAGAUUGCACCUUCC
ensembl:snRNA U2 U2 spliceosomal RNA